CACGCAUACCCAAAAAUGCAAAAACGGCAUCGGCUUCUAGUGCAGUCAUUCUUCUUCCGGGCAAAACCCUAAUCUUGCAAUCGAAUCCAAAAUUCCCAAAUUCCAUUUGAAACCCUAAUCCCCAAAUUUCCAAAUUCCUCCAAUCCAACCGAAAAGCCUAAGCCCCAAAUUCCGUAAAUCGUCCAAUCGAAUCCCAAAAUUGUCCAGUCGAACCGUAAUGAUUCCGAUGAAGAAGUCGGGUGCACCUCAUCUCAUCUCUGGUGAUCUCGAGAGCCUUUGCAGCCAUUGAGGAAGCCCCAUCUUCGGCUUGCUAACUGCCUUUGAAGUAGCAGAGGCUUGGCGAAGAAAAUCCGAGUUUGCUGGCAGGGGAUGAAUUCGGUCUUGUGGAAUCGAAACCAACAUCAGCAAUCAUAAAUUCUCUCAAGAGGCUGCAGAAGAACGCCAUGUCUAAAGAUAGCUCUGCUGCUGCGGUCCUUGACAUUUGCAGGCUAAGCAGAUGCUAGAGCAGUAGAUUCGAUCUUCAUUCGGAACUCAUCACCGAUCACUGGAGGUAGAAAUGAGUAGUGGAAGGUAUCAUCCUCUUAGCAUCAUUCUGUCUUGCUGCUUCUUCUCAGUAAUCACUCUUCUGCUAUUGGAGCCACAUUGUUGCGAUGGUAGCAAAGUUUUGCUCGUUCGACCCGGGGAAGAAGGAGAUGAUGAUCAUUAUGCAUUACUCAAACUUAUAAACAGGACUGGUUUCCCCCCUGAUUUCACUUUUGGUGUAGGCUCGAGUGCUUACCAGUAUGAAGGAGCAGCGAAUCAGCACGGCAGGAGGCCUAGCAUAUGGGAUACUUUCACCAAGUUGCAUCCAGAUAAGAUAGCAGAUCACAGUUCCGGGACGACGGCAGAGGAAUUUUACUACCUGUAUAGGGAGGAUAUAGGGUUGCUAAAAGAAAUCGGAUGGGAUUUCUUCAGAUUCUCCAUCUCGUGGCCAAGACUUGUACCUUAUGGCAAAGUAAGCAGGGGAGUGAACCAGCAAGGUAUCAACUUCUACAAUAAUCUCAUCAAUGAACUCCUUGCUCAUGGUAUUCAGCCAUUUGUGACUAUAGUCCAAUGGGAUUUGCCACAAGCUCUUGAAGAUGAGUACGGAGGGUUCCUAAGUCGUGACAUCGUGGGUGAUUUCCGUGACUAUGCCGAUCUAUGUUUCAAGGAGUUCGGGGACAGAGUGAAGUACUGGGCCACGUUGAACGAGCCGCAUAAUUUAGCACUGUAUGGAUACACCCUAGGUAUUUUUGCACCUGGUCGAUGUUCUUACUACAUGGGCAAUUGCUCUGCUGGGAAUUCUGCGACAGAGCCAUACAUUGUGGUGCACAACCAGCUCCUUUCACAUGCAUCGGCCGUCCAGUUAUAUAAGAGCAAGUAUCAGGCUUCUCAAAAGGGGAAAAUAGGGUUGACCACUGAAAGCUACUGGAUGAAACCAAAGUUCCAAACAGACCAAAGUAGGAAGGCUACCUUGAGAGCUCUCGAUUUUCAUCUUGGGUGGAUACUUGAUCCAAUCACCUUCGGUCAUUAUCCCAAGAGUAUGAGACAUUUAGUCGGAACGCGGCUGCCCAACUUUACAGCAGCUGAGUCAGAAAUUCUGAGAGGAUCCUAUGAUUAUCUUGGCAUCAAUUACUAUACUGCUCGAUAUGUCGAUGAAUCCACAUCUUAUGGCACCACUGACCUUAGUUACACAACAGAUUGUCGUUGCAAUCUCACAAUGGAGAGAGAUGGAAUUCCGAUUGGAGAGCCGGUACCGAAUAAAUUGUACUGCUGUGGAGUGGUUAUACAUAUAUCCGAAGGGAAUCAGGGAGCUAAUGCAUUAUGUGAAGAACAAGUACAAUCCCUCCGUGAUUUACAUAUCAGAGAACGGAAUGGCGGAUAUCAAUAACAGUACAAUACCACUUAAAGACGCGCUCAGGGAUACCUCGAGGAUUAAAUACCACAUGCUCCACCUUUUUUAUCUCUCGAAAGCUAUCGAGGAAGGAGUGAACGUGAAGGGCUACUUGGUAUGGUCGUUCUUGGAUGACUUUGAGUGGGCAUUGGGUUACACUAUUCGCUUUGGGUUGACUUUCAUCGACUACGAGAACGGCCUUAAGAGAUAUCUAAAGGACUCUUCCUUUUGGUUUAAGCAAUUUCUCCAUAGCGAAAACACUACUCAUAUGGUCCCGCUACUUCAAGUUUCAGAGUGAUCUUUGUCGCCUUAAUUCUUCUUAUGCGUCUUUUUUUCUUAAAAUCAUGAUUAUAUUUAUUUGUAUCUGUUCGCAUCUUUUUUAUUUGGACUAGUAUAAAAAUCACGAUUGCACGUGAUAAUAAUCUCAUUCACUACACUAUAUAGUAAAUAAUGAUAGUUAUUGAAACAAAAGUU